AACGAACGCUGGCGGCAUGCCUAACACAUGCAAGUCGAACGAGACCUUCGGGUCUAGUGGCGCACGGGUGCGUAACGCGUGGGAACCUGCCCUUAGGUUCGGAAUAACUCCCCGAAAGGGGUGCUAAUACCGGAUAAUGUCUUCGGACCAAAGAUUUAUCGCCUUUGGAUGGGCCCGCGUUGGAUUAGCUAGUUGGUAGGGUAAAAGCCUACCAAGGCGACGAUCCAUAGCUGGUCUGAGAGGAUGAUCAGCCACACUGGGACUGAGACACGGCCCAGACUCCUACGGGAGGCAGCAGUGGGGAAUAUUGGACAUGGGCGAAAGCCUGAUCCAGCAAUGCCGCGUGAGUGAUGAAGGCCUUAGGGUUGUAAAGCUCUUUUACCCGGGAUGAUAAUGACAGUACCGGGAGAAUAAGCUCCGGCUAACUCCGUG
rnacentral:rRNA from 1 species